GGAAGUGUGGACCCAACGGAGUAUGGGAGGAUGUAGAUUUUUCUAUGUGUAUCAAGAGCGAUCUUGUCAGCAUCUUUGUAGAGUUUCCCAGGUAAGAGAUGGCUACGACACAAACAACAUUAGUGGCAUUUUGAGGGACUUCUCUCAGCAGACGGCGGAGAUCACGAGCAAUGAGAACAUAACGUCGGGAGACUUAGACACCAGUGUCGAGAUAAUCAACAAGGUCGCUGCCAUUUCCGUGGGGCGAGAGGAUCUGGUCACAGAUUCCGACACUCAGGACUUUUUGCUGUCUGUGAAUAAUGUCUUGAAGGAGGGAAUAAAACCUGUAUGGGACAAUUUACAAAUAAAACGGGGCCAAAACAAAGCGGCGGAGCUGAUGAAUGCUGUGCAUGAGUUUGGAAACAGUGUCACCAAAAGACUGCCCAAAGGAGAGACCAAAACAUUGGCCCAGCAGAAUAUAGUUGUGGAGUACAAGAAAUCAGCGUUAGAGGACAUUGCUUUUCCUGUGUCCAAAAUCUCUGCCAACUCAGAUUACAAAAGUGUAAUUCAGCUGAAGGAGAGCACACUAAAGAAAAUUGUAUCAGAAAAUAAUACAGUGGACUAUGCAGCAACUUAUUACAAAACCCUCUCAGAUCUGUUUCCAAAGAAACCAAGUCAAAACAGCAACUUAAUCAAUACAGACAUCAUUUCAUUUUCCCUUGCUAAUGGAGAAACCGAGAAUCUAGAACCACCUCUCAAACUCGAAUUCCUCCUACACAAGGAUAUUGGACAAGAAAAUGCAAUUUGUAGUUUCUGGGACUUUGAUCAAAGUGCAUGGUCAGACAGAGGCUGUUAUACUGUGUUUAAAAACUCAACUUGGGUUACCUGCCAGUGUAAUCACAUGACGAACUUCGCAGUCCUGAUGAGUUCAGUGGAAGCAUCCGAGUCUGAGAAUUACAUUCUGGGUCUGAUUUCAAUUGUUGGAUGUACCAUCUCUAUAGCUGGACUUCUGGCCACAGUGGUUUGUCAUCUGAUAUUCUGGAGGUAUGUAAAAUCAGACAAAACCAAAAUCCUGCUGAACCUCUGUCUCUCCCUUACUGUCGCCAUGACAAUAUUUCUCCUUGGUGUGGAACAGACACAACAUAAGAUUCUGUGUACAGCCAUUGCUGUACUCCUGCAGUACUUUUUCCUUGUGUCCUUCUUUCUGAUGCUGGCCGAGGGAAUCACCAUCGCAGUCUCGGUUAUCCUGGUCUUCUGGACAAACUCCAAGGUCAAGGUCCUGCUUCCCUUGGCCUGGGGUCUACCCCUGGUCAUUGUUGGUGUGUCAAUGGGAGCCACUGGACUGGAGGGAUAUGGAAACAACAAAUUCUGUUGGCUGACCAUUGAGGAAGGUGUGAUAUAUGCUUUUGUUGUUCCAGCUGCCCUAAUUAUUGUGAUAAAUUUGAUAAUUACUGCCAUAGUACUGAGAGCGCUGUUCUCAACCAGAGCCGUCAUGAGUAAAUCCCAGCAGGACAAAAUCAGGGCCGGGGUACGGAGUGUUGCCGUGCUAGCCCCUAUCCUAGGGAUCUCUUGGAUCUUCGGUGUUCUCUCGGUGAACUCCAGCACAAUCAUUUUCCAGUACCUUUUCACAAUAUUCAACUCUCUUCAAGGUUUUUUCAUAUUCCUGUUCCACUGCGUAUUAAACAGAGCGAUUGUGGAUGCUAUCCGAAGAAAAUGCCAUUGUAUGAGAAGCAUGGAUGACUCCUCAAAACACAAGCAUAAAAGUGAAACCAGUAAUAAGUUCUCAACUGCUAACCCGUUGUCCAAUGGAACGAGGUCUUCUCAACUCUCCAAUUCGAGUUCCGAGUACUCGAAUGGAGGGAACAAGAACGGCCACCAAUACACUAACAAGGCAUAUACCGCCGACCAGAACCUAGACACAGCUUUUACAAAAACGUCCGCCGUGGACGAAAAAAAUAUAGACCUCUCUGUCAGUCCAAAUCUGAGCGAGAGGAAGGAGAAAAGUCCCAUGGGAAGUCCCUCGGGAAGCGUCAAGAGUGACCUCCUGUUUGUCCAGUGGGCGGACGAACACAAACGCUCCAUAGCCUUUAACCCCUCUCCUAUCGGAAGCAUCAGGUCGUCAAAAGUACCAUAUUCCGCACCGUUCAAAUAAGUGGGAAUGUAAUUAAUAGAGAGUUUCUAGUAAUAUGACGUAAAACGUGAUGCCAAUAAAAAGUUUCCGGGGUCAUGUGAACGAUUGAGGGUCUGAGAAGAGGGCCAUUGAUGAAGCAGAAACCAUACAUACCCCGAAAAUCCGCGGCACACCUGAAAUAUACACCUGCCUCCACGAGUGACACGCCUCAGUAGAAGGUGCAAACCUUUCCCAACUGUUGCGAUUGAUCACCCUGUAGUUAAUGUUAUAAUGACGUGAAAAUACAUUUUUGUGUUGUAUGAUUUCAUUACUGAAUUCAUAUAUUAAAUGGUUGCGCAAUAAAAUGCAAUAUAAGUGAUUCCGGUUUAUUUGUUUCAUUUUACAAUAUUAAAUAGUGUCCAAUUCU
rnacentral:misc_RNA from 1 species